GAUGAAGAACGUAGCGAAAUGCGAUAAGUAAUGUGAAUUGUAGAAUUCAGUGAAUCAUCGAAUCUUUGAACGCACAUUGCGCCCCCUGGUAUUCCGGGGGGCAUGCCUGUUCGAGCGUCAUUUCACCACUCAAGCCUCGCUUGGUAUUGGGCAACGCGGUCCGCCGCGUGCCUCAAAUCGACCGGCUGGGUCUUCUGUCCCCUAAGCGUUGUGGAAACUAUUCGCUAAAGGGUGUUCGGGAGGCUACGCCGUAAAACAACCCCAUUUCUAAGGUUGACCUCGGAUCAGGUAGGGAUACCCGCUGAACUUAAGCAUAUCAAUAAGCGGAGGA
rnacentral:misc_RNA from 1 species